rnacentral:rRNA from 1 species
AGAGUUUGAUCAUGGCUCAGAUUGAACGCUGGCGGUAGGCUUAACACAUGCAAGUCGUGCGAGAAAGUAUCUUCGGAUAUGAGUAAAGCGGCGGACGUGUGAGUAACGCGUAGGAAUCUACCUAGUAGAAGGGGAUAGCCCGGGGAAACUCGGAUUAAUACCGUAUACCUCCUUUGGGAGAAAGAGGGCCUCUCUUUGAAGCUUUCGCUAUUAGAUGAGCCUGCGUAAGAUUAGCUUGUUGGUGGGGUAAAGGCUCACCAAGGCGACGAUCUUUAGCGGGUCUGAGAGGACGAUCCGCCACAUUGGGACUGAGACACGGCCCAGACUCCUACGGGAGGCAGCAGUGGGGAAUAUUGGACAAUGGGCGCAAGCCUGAUCCAGCCAUACCGCGUGUGUGAAGAAGGCCCUAGGGUUGUAAAGCACUUUAAGUUGGGAAGAAAAGUUAUUGGUUAAUACCCAAUAACCGUGACAUUACCAUCAGAAUAAGGACCGGCUAAUUCCGUGCCAGCAGCCGCGGUAAUACGGAAGGUCCAAGCGUUAAUCGGAAUUACUGGGCGUAAAGCGCGCGUAGGUGGUUUAUUAAGUUGGAUGUGAAAUCCCCGGGCUCAACCUGGGAACUGCAUCCAAAACUGAUUCACUAGAGUACGAUAGAGGGAGGUAGAAUUCACAGUGUAGCGGUGGAAUGCGUAGAUAUUGUGAAGAAUACCAAUGGCGAAGGCAGCCUCCUGGAUCUGUACUGACACUGAGGUGCGAAAGCGUGGGUAGCGAACAGGAUUAGAUACCCUGGUAGUCCACGCCGUAAACGAUGUCAACUAGCUGUUGGAAAACUAUGUUUUU